AGACCCGAAACCCGGUGAUCUAGCCAUGGGCAGGUUGAAGGUUGGGUAACACUAACUGGAGGACCGAACCGACUAAUGUUGAAAAAUUAGCGGAUGACCUGUGGCUGGGGGUGAAAGGCCAAUCAAACCGGGAGAUAGCUGGUUCUCCCCGAAAGCUAUUUAGGUAGCGCCUCGUGAAUUCAUCUCCGGGGGUAGAGCACUGUUUCGGCUAGGGGGCCAUCCCGGCUUACCAACCCGAUGCAAACUGCGAAUACCGGAGAAUGUUAUCACGGGAGACACACGGCGGGUGCUAACGUCCGUCGUGAAGAGGGAAACAACCCAGACCGCCAGCUAAGGUCCCAAAGUCAUGGUUAAGUGGGAAACGAUGUGGGAAGGCCCAGACAGCCAGGAUGUUGGCUUAGAAGCAGCCAUCAUUUAAAGAAAGCGUAAUAGCUCACUGGUCGAGUCGGCCUGCGCGGAAGAUGUAACGGGGCUAAACCAUGCACCGAAGCUGCGGCAGCGAACGUAUCACCCAAGACAACUUUACGGAGUUGACGAUUGACGGAGCGAAGCGACGUCAAAGCGUUCAUUAAAGUCGAGUUGGCUUAGGGAUACGUUCGUUGGGUAGGGGAGCGUUCUGUAAGCCUGUGAAGGUGUGUCGUGAGGCAUGCUGGAGGUAUCAGAAGUGCGAAUGCUGACAUAAGUAACGAUAAAGCGGGUGAAAAGCCCGCUCGCCGGAAGACCAAGGGUUCCUGUCCAACGUUAAUCGGGGCAGGGUGAGUCGACCCCUAAGGCGAGGCCGAAAGGCGUAGUCGAUGGGAAACGGGUUAAUAUUCCCGUACUUGGUGUUACUGCGAAGGGGGGACGGAGAAGGCUAUGUUGGCCGGGCGACGGUUGUCCCGGUUUAAGCGUGUAGGUGUGUGUUCCAGGUAAAUCCGGUUCACUUUAACACUGAGGCGUGACGACGAGGCACUACGGUGCUGAAGCAACAAAUGCCCUGCUUCCAGGAAAAGCCUCUAAGCAUCAGGUAACACGAAAUCGUACCCCAAACCGACACAGGUGGUCAGGUAGAGAAUACCAAGGCGCUUGAGAGAACUCGGGUGAAGGAACUAGGCAAAAUGGUGCCGUAACUUCGGGAGAAGGCACGCUGACACGUAGGUGAAGUGAUUUACUCAUGGAGCUGAAGUCAGUCGAAGAUACCAGCUGGCUGCAACUGUUUAUUAAAAACACAGCACUGUGCAAACACGAAAGUGGACGUAUACGGUGUGACGCCUGCCCGGUGCCGGAAGGUUAAUUGAUGGGGUCAGCGCAAGCGAAGCUCCUGAUCGAAGCCCCGGUAAACGGCGGCCGUAACUAUAACGGUCCUAAGGUAGCGAAAUUCCUUGUCGGGUAAGUUCCGACCUGCACGAAUGGCGUAAUGAUGGCCAGGCUGUCUCCACCCGAGACUCAGUGAAAUUGAACUCGCUGUGAAGAUGCAGUGUACCCGCGGCAAGACGGAAAGACCCCGUGAACCUUUACUAUAGCUUGACACUGAACAUUGAGCCUUGAUGUGUAGGAUAGGUGGGAGGCUUUGAAGUGUGGACGCCAGUCUGCAUGGAGCCGACCUUGAAAUACCACCCUUUAAUGUUUGAUGUUCUAACGUGGACCCGUAAUCCGGGUUGCGGACAGUGUCUGGUGGGUAGUUUGACUGGGGCGGUCUCCUCCUAAAGAGUAACGGAGGAGCACGAAGGUUGGCUAAUCCUGGUCGGACAUCAGGAGGUUAGUGCAAUGGCAUAAGCCAGCUUGACUGCGAGCGUGACGGCGCGAGCAGGUGCGAAAGCAGGUCAUAGUGAUCCGGUGGUUCUGAAUGGAAGGGCCAUCGCUCAACGGAUAAAAGGUACUCCGGGGAUAACAGGCUGAUACCGCCCAAGAGUUCAUAUCGACGGCGGUGUUUGGCACCUCGAUGUCGGCUCAUCACAUCCUGGGGCUGAAGUAGGUCCCAAGGGUAUGGCUGUUCGCCAUUUAAAGUGGUACGCGAGCUGGGUUUAGAACGUCGUGAGACAGUUCGGUCCCUAUCUGCCGUGGGCGCUGGAGAACUGAGGGGGGCUGCUCCUAGUACGAGAGGACCGGAGUGGACGCAUCACUGGUGUUCGGGUUGUCAUGCCAAUGGCACUGCCCGGUAGCUAAAUGCGGAAGAGAUAAGUGCUGAAAGCAUCUAAGCACGAAACUUGCCCCGAGAUGAGUUCUCCCUGAGACUUAGAGUCUCCUGAAGGAACGUUGAAGACGACGA
rnacentral:rRNA from 2 species